UCCAAGGACAUCACGUGGAGUUAUAUAGCCAGGUAAAAGGAUAUUUAUUUGACUGAAAAACAAGCAGCAUAUGAGAGGAGAGAACAAUUGAACAGUUUUCAGCAUGAAGACAUCUGGAGCUCUACUGGUGCUGCUGUGCGGCUGUUUGGCUGAGACACAGCUUAGAGGAGAGACCCUCAGUGAAAAUGACAUCACCCACCAGGGCCACUAUGGUGAAGCAGAGACCAGAGAAAAUGAGGUUAUGGAUGCAGCACAGAGAACUGAAGCUGCAGCCACAGACUCCUCCACCCAACAAACCUGCCAGCCUGACAUCCACACUGUGCUGAGAGAGAUGAGCAUUCUGAUGACGUAGCAGAGAGUGGAGCUCAGACACACUAAGACACAAAUGGAGGCCAUGGAGACCAGACUGAGAGCCAGUGAGAAGACAGCAGAGGAGCAAAGAGUGGAGCUCAGACACACUAAGACACAAAUGGAGGCCAUGGAGAAGAAAGCAGAAACUAUGGAGACCAGACUAACUGCCAGUGAGAAGACAGUGAUGAUCAUGGAGACCUGACUGCUCCUCCACUGUCUCAUGGAGAAGACAAUGGAGGAGCAGAGAGCUGUUAUUCAGCAGCUGAAGGAGAAACAGGAGGAGCAUGCAGCAGCUGUGAGAGCUGUAGGAGGCAGUGUGAACCUGACGGGGAGCCAGGUCGAGGAGCUGAGGAGGGAGAGAGAUGAGAGGAGGGUGUCUUUCUCUGCCUCACUGCUAGCAUCAUAGCAGUGGAAAUACAGGCCCCUUUUCAGCAGCAACACCCCUGGUCUACAGACACAUCUUCACUAAUGUUGGCAAUUCCUACAACCCAAACACAGGGGUGUUUACAGCUCCAGUCAGAAGAGCACUUUAUGGUGUUUCUUCAUGCUGUUGGUCAUGUAUCUACGGUUGGAGGUGUCACUGUUUUUAAAAACAGAGAGCCUGUUUUCAAUGCUAAAAGUCAUCAGCCAACAUACCAGGUGAAUCCCUCUAAUGGAACUUCUCUGCUGCUGGAGGUGGGAGAUGUGAUCUAUGUCAAGCUGUGGGCCAAUGCGUGGGUGUAUGACGAUGGUCACCACUACACCACCUUCUCUGGCCACCUGCUCUUCCCCAUGUGAGGAGUCAGUAUUUAAUCAUCACAGGAAUAAUCUACAAGAUAAAGUACAAACAAGAGUCUUAAGAGAUACUGUUAUAAAGCGACACAGACUCUCAACAGCAGGUACAGGAAUCAAACUCAAGCUGACUGAUUGUAAGGCAUUGACACAACUGCUGCUCCCCCACACCCACACACAAAAGAUACACAUCAGCAUCACACACACAGACACUACAGCAGUGCUAAUCAAACUACACACACACACACACACACACACACACACACACACCACACAGAAGAUACACAUCAGCAUCACACCCAGACACUACAGAAGUGUUAAUCAAACUACACACCCACACACACACCACAGAAGAUACAUAUCAGCAUCACCCACACCGACUACAGUUGGGUCAUUGCAGCACUACUUUCUAAUUCCUAAUCUAAUUCCUAAUUCUAAUUUUGACUGAUAACAUUGCUAAUUGGAUUACUGUUUGGUUUAUUGUGUUUAUCAAUAUUAUUAGACAUUUUGUAAUACAUUUUUGUAAGUAAUUAAAAUGCUUUGUUAUGAAAACAA